UCGUGGGAGAGCACAGGGCAAGCAGAGCUCACCCCAGAACCUGCAGCUUUUCACCCCAGGUGACUCAUGGUCAUUCCAGGCAUCCUCCCUGCACAGACUCAAUCUCAAAAGAACCCAGGGGAAAUGACCGCAGCAUCACGAAUGAGAUUCCCGUGUGGAAGAGACCUCUGUGCUAACACGGUGGGGCAGAACCGAGGGCCAAGGCCUUUGGAUAUAAAUAUCCUCCUAAGAGCUCUCUAAGAUGCCUGUGACAGAAUUAUUAGUGGCUCUGUUUGAUCGUCAAGUGGAGGGCUGUCAUAAAUCAUGCAGAUAAAAGACAGUUUCGUCCAGAAGACUGUGCCGUCUUCAAACAUCUGGCCUGCAAAGGAUCAGGGACAGAUGUGAGGAGAGACGGAAGAAUGACCAAAAACAACAGCUGGCCUGACACAGACAGCAGUGAACACAAAGGGGAGACCUUUCCCAAGCAAGGAGGAAGAUCCGUUUUUGCACCUGAUUGAGGCUGAGAGAUGGUGAAGAGUCUAUGCCAACUGCAAAUACAAGGACUAAAAUUACACGUGCGAAGACUACACUUCAAAGAACAAAAAACCAGCUUUUCAUUUACAUUCACAAAUACAUGCACACACACUCACAUGCAUGCAUGCACAUGCACGUGCGUGUACACUCGACUGUGCUUUGUACAACUGCCACCCAUAGAUCAAAGAUUGAAGAACAAACUUACCAAUUUGGUGUAGGUGACAGGUUUCUUCCUAGCAAGCACAAAGAAUACUUCUCUUGAUCGGAUUUAAAAGCUCACAAUACUUUGUAAAUAAGCCAAACACAGACCAUUUCGCCACUUACAGAAGAAACUGAUAAAGGCUGAAAGACGAACACCUGAAUCCUGCACGUGUGACCAGCUGUUGCCUGAGAUAUCAGGCCGAGGAACAACACAGACAUGAGUGCUUGUUGGCAGAUCAAGCUCCAAAGAAUGGCUUCUAAAUACUGCUUCUAUCAAUUGGGGGGAAAAAGCAGCUUUGCACUAAUCAAAGCCAGAACCAAGUUUAGCAAGACCUAGAGUCUAAGGGGGACAGAAACCAGAGCCAGCACGGCACAGGAUUCAUCACUGGAAGUGACUGAAUUGACCUGGGGGCCAAUGAGGGGCAUUUAGUAGUACCAUCAUGUGGCAUCUCAGUAGGACUUCCACUUACCGAAAGAACUUUUGGGAAAUGUGUUUUUAAAUUCACCUUCAUGUAAAUCUUUUCUGCCAUGUUUCUCUACUUGAGGGUGUAGAUACUCCAACACUGAAAAUUACAGCAAAGUAAUUUUCAGGCUUUAGAAGGACUCAAAACAAAAAGGAUACUAGAUAUUUGAAAGAAAAAUGCCCUCUGUAAAUGCCACUGUUACUUUGUAAAAUAAGCAGCUAACCUAGGAAACAAAUGAUCAAUUUUCUCAUAUAAUUAUUUGUCUCACACCUUCAUGUGCCUUGAAAAACCUAUUUUCUUUAUGCCUGUGACACGGCUAUCACCUGAAGGUAAGGAAAAAUGCUUGCUUUUUCUGCCUUCACCCCACCCUACUUAAAGCAGGUUGGAAUCCACUUACCUCUCUUAGGGAAACCACAAGCCUGCAGGUCUUCUCUCUUUGAGUAAAGACACUCCGUUUUGUUGUCAUGAUGGCUGUCACAUGUAGAAUACAGCACGAAUCUGUGUUGAGAAGCCAGACCAUCUAGGGCUGGUUGUUUUAGUGCUUCCCAGUUGUGAAACUUUGGAGAACCUGUUGGGAGCCAACUCCUAGCGGCUAACAUCUUUGCAGCCAUCUCAGGCCAUAUAUCCUGACAAGAGACUUGUUUUCAACAGCCCACAACAGCUGAGCACACUCUGAUAAACAUCUUAUUUUUCUCACAUAUCUUGUUUUGCUGUUUAGUGCCCUCAGCUGCAAGGGGCACGUGGUAUCUACGCUGCAAGGCACGUGGCAAAGUGCCUUCGGCUGUGUUCCCCUGCCUGUCCACGAGGGCAGGGCACAUGGUAAAGCAUGUAAAUACCCAGAAUUUCCUUUCAAUAAGAGACUUGAUCAGACUCUGUCAUGUCUCCAUUCUUUGCAUCUCUCGCCCCUCCAUCCCCACUCUCUCUCUUGCUAGACCCUGACCCGCGGACUGGAGCAGCAGAACCGGCUGUUAGACAGUGGCCCCCGAACGUGGGGCAGAACGGGUGGUUACAAGAACCAAGUCCCAUCUAUAAACUGGAGUAAGCUAAAUAGUCCUGAAAGCUCUUGAGGCUGCUGAGACCAUCAGUGAACUGUUCACUCUGGUCAUCUUUAUUAGAAAUGCAUUAGAAAUUAGAGAGCAGUUUCUGGAUGUAGACCAAGAAAGCUAUACAUAUUUUGACCAACCAAGCAUAUUACUGAAUGUCAAAUCAACAGUCUUUUAGAACAGAACAUGUCUAAAAUAACAGCCAAAAUGUGAAUUGCAAAUGAUAUAAAAUAAAACUUGCUAAGUUCUAGAUCUUUGUCUUUCAGAAAAAUCACCAUAUAAUUUUAUGUGACAAUAAAAUAUAAAGUUUCUUUAAGAUUUUGAUAGCCAGUGGUUUUACCACAUAAAAGAAAAAAAUAAGCUAGUUUUAAUUAUUCUGUAGCUCAUCUAUAAUCUUGGAACUUGACUGCUCAAAUUCUAAAUUGAAAUGAAAAGUACUCAGAGACUAUAAAAACAAGACUAGCGAGCAAGCAUUUUUAAAAAUAAUACAUAUUGCCAAGUAAACUCAACAGAAUCGUUUAAUACUUUAUUAGUAUUUUCUAACAGACAGAACGUAACACAAACCAAAUAAAAAUUUUAAUUUCUGUAGUUAAUAAAAAUAACUGACAUUCUGAUUCUUUCCCCUUGGUUAGAGAAGGAGAGCAUUGAUAGAGAGCGGUUAGGCACGAUUGACACUUAUGUACAAUGAUAUGCACAAGGUAAUUUGUAACAAUUAAAAUCCUAAAAUGUGCUCUUUAGUUUUCCCUUAUAACACAGGAGCCAUGCUCCCAUAAGCAAAAGUAUUCUACUAAGAAAAGAAUUUUACAAGGAGUGACAAAAAGACUUUUAAAACAAGUCCUUAAUUAAGGUGCAGCAACAACAGAAUGAAGUUGUUGGGUUAAGAAGACAGUUAAAUUGGAUUUCAAAACAUUAAAAAUGUAGUUAUUUUACAAUUACUCAAAUAAACAUGCAUUAAAUGAAAAUAUUGCACAAAAUUAAAACUGUAGAUUGUAAAAUUUAUGUUGUUCUUAAUUUCUUUUUUUAAAAAAUGGUACACUUUCAUUGCACUUAACGAUUUUUUCCCCAAACACCUGCAGCAAACUUAUAGUGAUCAAACUGUUAUAUUCAAUAAAUUUUUUUUGUUUUAAAUUAAGGCUAACAAAGUGCAUCCACUGGUCAAUGGCACAACUGUUUCCAGCAACUACAUGGAACACUCGGAUUAUAGAAAAUACUCAUCUAAGUGCUACGUUUAAGUCACACAAUCAAACUGUAGGUGAAUAAGCUAUGAUGGUUUCUUUGCAGUUUUACACUACCUGAAAAAAAUAUCAGAAAACCCAAAAGAAUGAUUAAUUUUGAUGGUUCUUGCCUAAAGGCACCACUGACUUAAAAGCACUCAGCAGAAGACAUACAGCCUCUUUGUGUAUAUGUUCAUAUGUGCAACAAAUGCACAAAAUAUAGUAACUUUAUUAAACGUAGAACACUGUCCUUUGCUUAUGGGUUAAAUACUCUACACAGCUGGACCAAGCCUAGGUUAUCUGUAGCUAUAGCACGGCCACACUCUUCGUUGUAAAACACAGCCGUGCACAGACACGUGGCCAUUUGACAUUUCAGCUCCAGAAAUAUAAAUGCUUCUCAACAAAAAUUCCCUUAAAAAAAACAUUUACUCAAAUAGUUUUGUUUUUGCUCUUUGUUUGGUUUUGGUGUGACUGCAGUUGUCUUGCAGGGCUGUGAGAAGAUCUGCAGUUUAUACGACCUCUUUUUCCCCUGGUUGACAGUUUUCUCACUUUAUAUAGAAACACUUUUCACAUGUACACACUAGGCUCUUGCAAGAAUCCUUCUGUAUACACUUAAAUGUAUUCAUGUAAAAAUAUAAUUGAAACAGGAGGCUAUGUAUGAAAUUAUUGCACUUGUGGCCAUGCUGAUGCUUUCUACACACUUGAUGCAUCCAAUUUUAAGCCUGGGGCCAAUGAAGGGCCAGCAGGGCAGGGGCAGGAGUACAGGAAAUGGUUCUUCUGCCAGAGAAACAAUCUUUCCUCACUUGCAAGUUUCGAAAAGGGGUUUUACUUAUGUAAUUCUGAAAGACAUGCAACACAUGCUGACUAUGUGCAUACUACACAUAUGCACACAGCACUGAGCAUCAUAAAGCUUUCCAGGAAGGCUUCCCUCUUAGUAUUAGGCUUCACUGGUUAAGAAGAAUCUGAGUGACAGCAAGACUAAAUCCUAUUCCAAUCUUCUGGAUUAUCAAUACUCUGUCCCUUUACAAUAAGCACCCAAACAUUCUUUAAAUAUCAGGAUACUGGCUCAGUGGUCUGAAAAGUAGUUUCACUAUUUUAAGGUUUUAGUGUUAAAUAUUUUUAAAACAAAAAGAGCUGAUAUAUCUAAACCCUUAGUCAUUGGAAGUAUUUAAAAGUACAGAAAUCCUGCAUAUAUGGGAUAUGAAGACUUCCUAAUGGACAAAAUGGAGAGAACACUAGGAAAUGCAAAGGCUUCACAACUGGAAAAGGUAUUUUGUUUCACUGAUAUAAAAUAUUAGGGCGUUAAAUGUAUACACCAAAGGGUUUUGUGUACUAGCUUUAUUUAGAAUUUUACAUUAUGCGAAAUAUAAAUAAAAGCAUAUUUUUA